rnacentral:rRNA from 1 species
UACGAAGGGGGCUAGCGUUGCUCGGAAUUACUGGGCGUAAAGGGCGCGUAGGCGGCACUGUUAGUCAGGCGUGAAAUUCCUGGGCUCAACCUGGGGACUGCGCUUGAUACGGCAGAGCUUGAGGAUGGAAGAGGGUCGCGGAAUUCCCAGUGUAGAGGUGAAAUUCGUAGAUAUUGGGAAGAACACCGGUGGCGAAGGCGGCGACCUGGUCCAUUACUGACGCUGAGGCGCGACAGCGUGGGGAGCAAACGGG